rnacentral:lncRNA from 1 species
UAUAAAUUAUUAAGUUACUAAUAUUGUUUAUAAGGAUGUGUAGUUUCAUAUUUCAAGUGCUCACAAUUUCCAAAUAUUUUUUGACAACUAAAUGAAGAACCACCACUCAAGAAACUCUAGACUAGACAUACCUUGAAAAAAAAAUUAAUGAGGAUUAAAUCAAGUUAGGAAGGCAAGUCUAGACUAGAAAUCAAAUUAGAGAAGAAAGGCUGU